GACGAACGCUGGCGGCGUGCCUAAUACAUGCAAGUUGAGCGAUGAAGCUUGGUGCUUGCACCAAUUUUAAGAGCAGCGAACGGGUGAGUAACGCGUGGGGAAUCUGCCUUUGAGCGUGGGACAACAUUUGGAAACGAAUGCUAAUACCGCAUAAUAACUUUAAACAUAUGUUUUAAGUUUGAAAGAUGCAAUUGCUUCACUCAAAGAUGAUCCCGCGUUGUAUUUGCUAAUUGGUGAGGUAAAGGCUCACCAAGGCGAAGAUACAUAACCGGACUGGAAGGGUGAUCGGGCACAAUGGGACUGGGACAAGGCCCAAACUCCUACGGGAGGGAGCAGUAGGGAAUCUUCGGCAAUGGACGAAAGUCUGACCGAGCAACGCCGCGUGAGUGAAGAAGGUUUUCGGAUCGUAAAACCCUGUUGGUAGAGGAGAAAGUUGGUGAGAGUGGAAAGCUCAUCAAGUGACGGUAACUAACCAGAAAGCGACGGCUAACUACGUG
rnacentral:rRNA from 1 species